CUGGAAUCUCAGGGCUUCGGCCCUGACCCAGAUACCCUAUGUGAACUUAUACCUCAUAUCGUUGCCUCGGCGCCGAGCCGGGCCUCCUCCGGGAGGCCCCCUCUUGUCCACCUCACCGUGGACAGAGGAGCAGGCCCGCCGGCGGCCCACUAAACUCUUUGUUUUUAUAACGUAUCUCUUCUGAGUCUUUACAAACAAAUGAAUCA
rnacentral:misc_RNA from 1 species